rnacentral:rRNA from 4 species
CCCUUUGGGUGUGACUGCGUACCUUUUGUAUAAUGGGUCAGCGACUUAUAUUCUGUAGCAAGGUUAACCGAAUAGGGGAGCCGGAGGGAAACCGAGUCUUAACCGGGCGUUAAGUUGCAGGGUAUAGACCCGAAACCCGGUGAUCUAGCCAUGGGCAGGUUGAAGGUUGGGUAACACUAACUGGAGGACCGAACCGACUAAUGUUGAAAAAUUAGCGGAUGACCUGUGGCUGGGGGUGAAAGGCCAAUCAAACCGGGAGAUAGCUGGUUCUCCCCGAAAGCUAUUUAGGUAGCGCCUCGUGAAUUCAUCUCCGGGGGUAGAGCACUGUUUCGGCUAGGGGGCCAUCCCGGCUUACCAACCCGAUGCAAACUGCGAAUACCGGAGAAUGUUAUCACGGGAGACACACGGCGGGUGCUAACGUCCGUCGUGAAGAGGGAAACAACCCAGACCGCCAGCUAAGGUCCCAAAGUCAUGGUUAAGUGGGAAACGAUGUGGGAAGGCCCAGACAGCCAGGAUGUUGGCUUAGAAGCAGCCAUCAUUUAAAGAAAGCGUAAUAGCUCACUGGUCGAGUCGGCCUGCGCGGAAGAUGUAACGGGGCUAAACCAUGCACCGAAGCUGCGGCAGCGACACUGUGUGUUGUUGGGUAGGGGAGCGUUCUGUAAGCCUGUGAAGGUGUGUCGUGAGGCAUGCUGGAGGUAUCAGAAGUGCGAAUGCUGACAUAAGUAACGAUAAAGCGGGUGAAAAGCCCGCUCGCCGGAAGACCAAGGGUUCCUGUCCAACGUUAAUCGGGGCAGGGUGAGUCGACCCCUAAGGCGAGGCCGAAAGGCGUAGUCGAUGGGAAACGGGUUAAUAUUCCCGUACUUGGUGUUACUGCGAAGGGGGGACGGAGAAGGCUAUGUUGGCCGGGCGACGGUUGUCCCGGUUUAAGCGUGUAGGUGUGUGUUCCAGGUAAAUCCGGUUCACUUUAACACUGAGGCGUGACGACGAGGCACUACGGUGCUGAAGCAACAAAUGCCCUGCUUCCAGGAAAAGCCUCUAAGCAUCAGGUAACAUCAAAUCGUACCCCAAACCGACACAGGUGGUCAGGUAGAGAAUACCAAGGCGCUUGAGAGAACUCGGGUGAAGGAACUAGGCAAAAUGGUGCCGUAACUUCGGGAGAAGGCACGCUGACACGUAGGUGAAGUGAUUUACUCAUGGAGCUGAAGUCAGUCGAAGAUACCAGCUGGCUGCAACUGUUUAUUAAAAACACAGCACUGUGCAAACACGAAAGUGGACGUAUACGGUGUGACGCCUGCCCGGUGCCGGAAGGUUAAUUGAUGGGGUCAGCGCAAGCGAAGCUCCUGAUCGAAGCCCCGGUAAACGGCGGCCGUAACUAUAACGGUCCUAAGGUAGCGAAAUUCCUUGUCGGGUAAGUUCCGACCUGCACGAAUGGCGUAAUGAUGGCCAGGCUGUCUCCACCCGAGACUCAGUGAAAUUGAACUCGCUGUGAAGAUGCAGUGUACCCGCGGCAAGACGGAAAGACCCCGUGAACCUUUACUAUAGCUUGACACUGAACAUUGAGCCUUGAUGUGUAGGAUAGGUGGGAGGCUUUGAAGUGUGGACGCCAGUCUGCAUGGAGCCGACCUUGAAAUACCACCCUUUAAUGUUUGAUGUUCUAACGUGGACCCGUUACCCGGGUUGCGGACAGUGUCUGGUGGGUAGUUUGACUGGGGCGGUCUCCUCCUAAAGAGUAACGGAGGAGCACGAAGGUUGGCUAAUCCUGGUCGGACAUCAGGAGGUUAGUGCAAUGGCAUAAGCCAGCUUGACUGCGAGCGUGACGGCGCGAGCAGGUGCGAAAGCAGGUCAUAGUGAUCCGGUGGUUCUGAAUGGAAGGGCCAUCGCUCAACGGAUAAAAGGUACUCCGGGGAUAACAGGCUGAUACCGCCCAAGAGUUCAUAUCGACGGCGGUGUUUGGCACCUCGAUGUCGGCUCAUCACAUCCUGGGGCUGAAGUAGGUCCCAAGGGUAUGGCUGUUCGCCAUUUAAAGUGGUACGCGAGCUGGGUUUAGAACGUCGUGAGACAGUUCGGUCCCUAUCUGCCGUGGGCGCUGGAGAACUGAGGGGGGCUGCUCCUAGUACGAGAGGACCGGAGUGGACGCAUCACUGGUGUUCGGGUUGUCAUGCCAAUGGCACUGCCCGGUAGCUAAAUGCGGAAGAGAUAAGUGCUGAAAGCAUCUAAGCACGAAACUUGCCCCGA